GAUGAACGCUAGCGGCAGGCCUAAUACAUGCAAGUCGAGGGAGAAUGUUGGAUUCGUCUGACAUGAAACCGGCGCACGGGUGCGUAACACGUAUGCAACCUACCUUUAACUGGGGUAUAGCUCAGAGAAAUCUGAAUUAAUCCCCCAUAAGACUACGACAUGGCAUCAUGAUGUAGUUAAAGCUCCGACGGUUAAGGAUGGGCAUGCGGUACAUUAGCUAGUUGGUGAGGUAAUGGCUCACCAAGGCUACGAUGUAUAGGGGGUCUGAGAGGAUGAUCCCCCACACUGGUACUGAGACACGGACCAGACUCCUACGGGAGGCAGCAGUAGGGAAUAUUGGUCAAUGGACGCAAGUCUGAACCAGCCAUGCCGCGUGAAGGAUGAAGGCCCUAUGGGUCGUAAACUUCUUUUAUUAGGGAAGAAAAAACGGGAUGCGUCCUGUACUGACGGUACUUAAUGAAUAAGGAUCGGCUAACUUCGUGCCAGCAGCCGCGGUAA
rnacentral:rRNA from 1 species